ACCUAGGUGGUGCAAACAGUUAACAUGCUUGGCUGCUAACUGAAAGGUUGGUGGUUUGAGUCCACCUAAAGGUA
rnacentral:tRNA from 1 species